CAGCAGCCGCGGUAAUACGAAGGGUGCAAGCGUUAAUCGGAAUUACUGGGCGUAAAGCGUGCGUAGGCGGUUUGUUAAGUCUGUGUGAAAUCCCCGGGCUCAACCUGGGAAUGGCAAUGGAUUCUGGCAAGCUAGAGUGUGUCAGAGGAUGGUGGAAUUCCCGGUGUAGCGGUGAAAUGCGUAGAGAUCGGGAGGAACAUCAGUGGCGAAGGCGGCCAUCUGGGACAACACUGACGCUGAGGCACGAAAGCGUGGGGAGCAAACAGGAUUAGAUACCCGCGUAGUCCCUGUCUCUUAUACA
rnacentral:rRNA from 1 species